CUGUCUGCGGAGCAUAUAUGGUGCACCACACAUACACUGUCCUAAUCCUCUUUAGAGAGUGGUGCAGUGCAAGCAGCAGUUUUGCAGCAGUUUUCAUGUUAGGUGACAGCGAGGAAGAGCACUCAUGUUUAAUUCCCCGGAAGAUUAAAAACAGCUGACGAUAAGAGUGUUCGUAAACGUUACAGAAAGUGGGGACAACGAAAGGAUGACAGAGGAAAAGAGACGAGGAAUUUUCUUUCUGAAACGGAGGUGGUUGCUUGGUGGAUCAAGUUUGACAUGAUCCCCAACACCAAUGGCUUAAAUACAGCCUCCAACUAUGAGCCUCCACUGUGUCUUACAGGUGGCUAUAACCAGUGUUGUACCUCACUCUUGACCACCUCUGCACUGUAGGCGAUUUGAACCACAAAUCUCUCAUUUGGAUUCAUCACCCCACAAGACCUGUCGCCACUGAUUUGCAGUCCAGUUCUUGUUUAAUUUGGCAUACCUAAGCCUUUUUUUCUUCUUUUUUUUACAGUUUACCUUACUUUCUUGGCAUUAUUGUCCCACUGAGACCAAUAAUGAUGAGGUUUUGGUCUAGAUAAAUCAACUUAAAAGGUUUUCCUAUUUCCUAAGGACAUGAGUUUCACAUACUCUUCAUCUGCUGCCCUUUCAGGCAGGCCUGCCACUUGGCAAGAGAAAACAAACAGGUUAGGGUAAAAGGACUGGAUUGGAAAUGAGUAGAAAAAGCAGGCAACUUAAAAUACAAGCUGGGAUAACUAUUGUUCAAGACUACUUUAAUAAAUUAAGAAAGUCUGACUCCCUAGAAGCAAAAUAUUAAGAAACAUAUGGUGCAAGACUUUUGCACAGUACUGUAUGUUCUCUUAUUUAUAUUUAUAUUGGAUGCAUCUCCUUCAUCUUGUUUGACGAAAUGAAAAAAAUGGCUGUGGAAUUAAUUUGACAUUUUAUUUGUCCGAGGAAGCACUUGUACUUGAUAAGCUUGCAGAGAAUAUAUUUAGGCGCUGCUUCAUGAGUUUUAAAUUUGUUUAUAUGGGUAAAAAAAAAAUAAAUCCUUUUUUGCUGUGCACCACUGGAUAAA